rnacentral:lncRNA from 1 species
UUUUUUUUUUCUUCUCCUCAACUUUCCUUAUGAUGUAAUUAGUUUUUAUUUGUGUAAUGUUGUUUUUAGGUACUGGAGAAUUUGGAUCUUGUAGCUGAAUGAAGGUUUUAGGUAUCCAAUAUGUUGGACUUUGGUGCAAGUGUUUUGGGUGACUGCUUAUCUUAAGAUAUUUUGCAAAAUUUGGCAUCGGUGUAGUUUGUGUCGUUUGUAUAUUUCAACUAUUGGGG